AGAGUUUGAUCCUGGCUCAGAAUGAACGCUAGCGGCAGGCUUAACACAUGCAAGUCGAGGGGCAGCGGGCCGUAGCAAUACGGUGCCGGCGACCGGCGGACGGGUGCGUAACGCGUAUGCAACCUUCCCUGCACAGGGGUAUAGCCCGGCGAAAGCCGGAAUAAUCCCCCAUAGUUUCAAUUUUCCGCAUGGAGAGUUGGAUAAACGGGCGACCGGGUGCAAGAUGGGCAUGCGUGACAUUAGGCAGUUGGCGGGGUAACGGCCCACCAAACCUACGAUGUCUAGGGGUCCUGAGAGGGAGGUCCCCCACACUGGAACUGGGACACGGUCCAGACUCCUACGGGAGGCAGCAGUGAGGAAUAUUGGUCAAUGGAGGAAACUCUGAACCAGCCAUGCCGCGUGCAGGAAGGAGGCCCUACGGGUCGAGAACUGCUUUUGUUCGGGACGAGCAUGAUUACGUGUAAUCAAGUGACGGUACCGGAAGAAUAAGCACCGGCUAACUCCGUGCCAGCAGCCGCGGUAAUACGGGGGGUGCAAGCGUUAUCCGGAUUUAUUGGGUUUAAAGGGUGCGCAGACUGUCUGGUAAGUCAGCGGUGAAAUUUCCUGGCUCAACCAAGAAAUUGCCGUUGAUACUGUCGGGCUGGAGUGUCGUGGGCGCGGGAGGAAUGCGACAAGUAGCGGUGAAAUGCUUAGAUAUGUCGCAGAACACCGAUAGCGGAGGCAUCCCGUGACGGGGCACUGACGUUGAGGCACGAAAGCGUGGGUAUCGAACAGGAUUAGAUACCCUGGUAGUCCACGCCGUAAACGAUGAUGACUGGGUUUUUGGCAGCAAGUGUCAAGAGCCUGAGCGAAAGCGUUAAGUCAUCCACCUGGGGAGUACGUUCGCAAGUAUGAAACUCAAAGGAAUUGACGGGGGCCCGCACAAGCGGAGGAACAUGUGGUUUAAUUCGAUGAUACGCGAGGAACCUUACCCGGGUUCAAAUGCAGGCUGCAUAGUGCAGAGAUGUGCUUUUCGAGCAAUCGACCGCCUGCAAGGUGCUGCAUGGUUGCCCCUCAGCUCGUGCCGUGAGGUGUCGGGUCAAGUGGGGGGGACGAGCGCAAAAACUUGCCUCCAGUUACCAGCGGGUAAAGCCGGGGACUCAGGAGGGACUGCCGCCGCAAGGCGAGAGGAAGGGGGGGAUGACGUCAAAUCAGCACGGCCCUUACAUCCGGGGCGACACACGUGUUACAAUGGUCGGUACAGAGGGAAGCCAGGCGGCGACGCCGAGCGGAUCUCGAAAGCCGGCCGUAGUUCGGAUCGGAGUCUGCAACCCGACUCCGUGAAGCUGGAUUCGCUAGUAAUCGCAUAUCAGCCAUGAUGCGGUGAAUACGUUCCCGGGCCUUGUACACACCGCCCGUCAAGCCAUGGGAGCCGAGGGUGCCUGAAGUACGUAACCGCGAGGAGCGUCCUAGGGUAAAAUUGGUGACUGGGGCUAAGUCGUAACAAGGUAACC
rnacentral:rRNA from 1 species